rnacentral:lncRNA from 1 species
GUGCCACGCAGGGGUGUCCCCGCGUAGGGGAGCCCCACGCACAAGGAGUGCGCCCCGUAAGGAGAGCCGCCCAACGUGAAAAGAAAGAGCAGCCUGCCCAGGAAUGGCGCUGCCCACACUUCCUGUGCUGCUGACGACAACAGAAGCGGACAAAGAAACAAGACGCAGCAAAUAGACACAGAGAACAGACAACCGGGGAGGGGGGGGCGAAUUAAAUAAAUAAAUCUUAAAAAUAAAAAUAAAAGUACAAUUCAAAGUUUUUUUUUAUUAUCCAACCUAAUGAAGUUUUAUUUAUUUUUUAAUGUUACAUUCAAAAAAUAUGAGGUCCCCAUAUACUCCCCACCUCCCUCACCCCGCUCCUCCCCCCCGAAGUUGCCUUUUUGAUUCCCUGACACCUGGAGCAGAGGGAGAGGAGUGCCCAUCCCCCAGAGAUCUUGGGCUUUGAGCUGGAUGCUGGGCCGGGGGCAUACAUCACCACUCCAUAUGACAGAAAAAGAAAAUGCUGAAUUUUAACAGUUGCCAGGGGGCACGGACAGGAGUGAACCUGGUGUUUUAAAAUUCCUUUACCCGAAGGGCCAAGGAAAGCUUAGAACUUUCUGCAGCUGACACUCACGGUUCCAUCCCUCUCUUUUCUUUUUUUUUCUUUUUUUCUUUUAAGGAUACAUAAAUCACAAAAACUGUUACAUUAAAAAAUAUAAGAGCUUCCCAUACCCCCCACAUCGACAACCUCUUUCCUCAGUGUGGCACAUUCUUCGUUUGGUGACUACGUUUUGGAGCACUGCUGCCCGGCACGGAACUCCCCGAGGGCCCCACGGAGCCUGUAUAUACGUCACUUUAGGCAUCAAGAGGUCACAUUAUUGCCCACACCUGUACCACAGUAGCACCGACAGCUUACAAGCCACUGCUAAUGUGGGUGGAGGGAAUGGAACCACACUCUGCAGGAGGGCGCAGGCUCGGGUCCUACCCUGGCUUGGCCGACGUGGCUUCGAAAACCGGCCCCGUCGGGCGCCUCCUGGACUGAGGGGCCGAGGCGCUGAGGGGCCUUGCGCGUGCUGUUCCCAGCCAGGGGGGUGCCGAAGCAAAGAGGCCGAUGUGUGAAAUCAGGUGAGCCCGGUGGGCUAAGCGACAGAGGGGGAGGAGGUUGGGGGCGGGGUACGACGGUGAGGCUUGGGUGUCAGCGCGGCCAGGUAACAGCACCCAGUUGUUGGGCCAAGCAAGCUCUGGCCUAAUUGUUCGGUGAGGGUGAGGACAUUUCCUGGACUUGACUCAUCAGUGAGUCGAUUGCUUCUCUGGCUGAUGACGUCUACAAUCAACUGAGACUGCCGUCAGCAACGAGUGACGUCUCAUCCAGUCAGCUGAAGACCUGAACACAAGAAGAGAUUGCAGCCUCCAGAGAGAGAACUCCCACCUCUAGGGCAGAGAGCCAGCAUCUCCGGGGGAGCUCCUCGAGGACCUUCACUGGAGCCCUUUGCUUGCAGCCCGCCCUAAAGAAUUUGGACUCGUGCAUCCCCACG